UACGAAGGGGGCAAGCGUUGUCCGGAUUUACUGGGCGUAAAGAGCGCGCAGGCGGUCGGCCAAGUCGAGUGUGAAAGCCCCCGGCUCAACUGGGGAGGGUCAUUCGAUACUGGUCGACUCGAAGGCAGGAGAGGGAAGCGGAAUUCCCGGUGUAGUGGUGAAAUGCGUAGAUAUCGGGAGGAACACCAGUGGCGAAGGCGGCU
rnacentral:rRNA from 1 species